rnacentral:rRNA from 1 species
CUGGUCUUGACAUCCACGGAAGUUUUCAGAGAUGAGAAUGUGCCUUCGGGAACCGUGAGACAGGUGCUGCAUGGCUGUCGUCAGCUCGUGUUGUGAAAUGUUGGGUUAAGUCCCGCAACGAGCGCAACCCUUAUCCUUUGUUGCCAGCGGUCCGGCCGGGAACUCAAAGGAGACUGCCAGUGAUAAACUGGAGGAAGGUGGGGAUGACGUCAAGUCAUCAUGGCCCUUACGACCAGGGCUACACACGUGCUACAAUGGCGCAUACAAAGAGAAGCGACCUCGCGAGAGCAAGCGGACCUCAUAAAGUGCGUCGUAGUCCGGAUUGGAGUCUGCAACUCGACUCCAUGAAGUCGGAAUCGCUAGUAAUCGUGGAUCAGAAUGCCACGGUGAAUACGUUCCCGGGCCUUGUACACACCGCCCGUCACACCAUGGGAGUGGGUUGCAAAAGAAGUAGGUAGCUUAACCUUCGGGAGGGCGCUUACCACUUUGUGAUUCAUGACUGGGGUG